rnacentral:rRNA from 1 species
UACGUAGGGGGGCAAGCGUUGUCCGGAAUUAUUGGGCGUAAAGAGCGUGUAGGCGGUCCGGUAAGUCAGCUGUGAAAGUCAAGGGCUCAACCCUUGAAAGCCGGUUGAUACUGUCGGGCUAGAGUCCGGAAGAGGCGAGUGGAAUUCCCGGUGUAGCGGUGAAAUGCGCAGAUAUCAGGAGGAACACCUAUAGCGAAGGCAGCUUGCUGGGACGUUACUGACGCUAAGGCGCGAAAGCGUGGGGAGCGAACAGG